rnacentral:rRNA from 1 species
GGUUAAGUCCCGCAACGAGCGCAACCCUCGACCUUAGUUGCCAGCAUUCAGUUGGGCACUCUAAGGUGACUGCCGGCUAAAAGUCGGAGGAAGGUGGGGAUGACGUCAAAUCAUCAUGCCCCUUAUGACCUGGGCUACACACGUGCUACAAUGGUUGGUACAACGAGUUGCGAGUCGGUGACGGCGAGCUAAUCUCUUAAAGCCAAUCUCAGUUCGGAUUGUAGGCUGCAACUCGCCUACAUGAAGUCGGAAUCGCUAGUAAUCGCGGAUCAGCACGCCGCGGUGAAUACGUUCCCGGGCCUU